rnacentral:ncRNA from 1 species
GGGUGGGAGGCAGUUGUUGCCUCUCAGGAUUUCAAGUGGUCGGGCCGCCACCU